UUUUCAUAAAUUUUAACUUUGAAAUUUUUCAUUAAAUUUUCUUCUUCACUUUUUCUACUAAAAGAUCAUCCGCACAAGUGUCAGCAAUCCAGUAAUUCUAUUCAUAUCUCAAAAUCUGGAAUAGACAAUAAUGCAAGUUGAAGACUAUCGAAAAAGUGGAUAUUCUGUUUAAGUGCACCGGGAUUUUGUGGAUUAUUGAAAAAUGUUUGUUAAUCAAGAGCUCUCGCUCGAUCAUGUCAAGUGCAAUCACUACCCAAGGAGGGUGAAGAGGUUACGAAGUCGUUAAAUAGAGACCUGGAGUGAUACAUAAUAUUAAAGAGUAUUCGAGAAAGUAAUAAACUUUGGUGAACAAAGUUACGGCCAAAGAAUUAGAAGAAACCAUGAUUUUCAAACUUCCUCAAUUUUUCUCGUUCCACUUUGAUUCCAUAGAACGUCGAAAUCACAGUUUCCUCCUUCUCCAUGAUUGAAGUCUUAAAAAAGAUUGGUAUUGAAUUGGUCAUAAAAAUGCCAAUGCAAGGCUUCAUAAGAAGUUAUUGAUUAAGAGACGACACUAAAAUAUUGAGGCAAUGUUAACAACUAUGUCAUCAGCAGCAAUUGAGCUGAAUUCAUCAUAUUACACCGCUAUAAUAGAUGGGAGCAGUACUCUAGAUGGAUUCUCAGUUUCAGUGAUUGAUCCCGUGAAUGAGACGUCCAGCCCGUAUAUGCUUCCAACAUACAUUCGUGUGACGUCUAUGGUGAUAGUAAUUGUCGUCAUGGUGCUGGGUAUAAUCGGCAAUCUCAUGGUACCUCUGGUUGUACUGCGCGGGAAGGAUAUGCGAAAUAGCACAAACAUCUUCUUGGUGAAUCUAAGUGCCGCUGAUCUCUGUGUUCUGCUCGUUUGUGCCCCCACUGUCCUUGUUGAGGUCAACUCUGGUCCUCAGGUCUGGCCUCUUGGGGAACAUAUGUAAAAUUUAAGGGACCCUUUCAACUUCACUGUGGGAGGAUCUGAGUAACAAAAUAGCAUAAUAAUAGUUGAUGCGUUCUAUGCUAUGUCGAUAAAAAAUAAUCACAUUUUCCUUCUCUUAUUCUUAUUAUGAUUAUUCAAAAUGUCGAGAUUACGAGAACCAUUUUUUAAAAUAAUCUAUAAUCCAGAAAAUAUGCUCCGAAAAAAUCGAAACAAUCUUUUUUUUGUGGAAAGAGAAUAAUGUGUUUUCAACGGGAAAAUUUGAUGCCAGAAAGUGAAUGUUUAGGAAUUGAAGGUAUUGUGGGAAAAUUCAAUUCACUAACAAAUCCGAUUUAGUAAACUAUAUAAUCGCAGUAUAUUUGAAGGACGUUGGAAAAAUGUAUAAAAGUGAAGAUGGAAGUGAUCCGGUAUGAGGUUCGUAACCGGCUGUGUGUCUAAGGUAUGUCUGGAUUCGCAAGACAACCGAAUCUCGUAAAUGGAAUAAAUCAGAAGUAUACGUGACACAAUGAGUGCCAGUGAGACGGCGCUACGAGUUUCGUGCUCCCGUUAACAUCUUCACCUGGUGACGGUGGUCAGCGCGUAUGUGGAUGAGUGUAUGUAGCGAGUCCCUACAAAUGUUCAUUUCAUUUAUAUACAGUUCAAGUUGUUCAAAAGAAUACUCAUCGCCAGACAUUUUUUUAUAUUCUGCAAAAAUACACGAUGUAGCAUAUAUAUAAUUAAACCUUCAAACAAAUUUUUAGAAACUGGUCACUCAUAGUUAUCGAACUAUAAUUUUUUUCAAAAACAAAGUCGUAAUUUAUAACUAAAAACUUGACAAAUAAUUUGAGUAUUGUAUGAAAAAAGUGUAGGGAUAGUUUUUCGCCAGGAAGAGGUGACUGUUCAUGAGCAAA